CCCUGGGCUCCCCACACCCUCCCCAAGCAAUAACUGGAGCCGCCAGACACCCCGAUGGCGGAGGACGACGGUGGAGGUAGGGCCGGGCCCCGCCCGGGUGUCCCCUCUGUCCCCCCCCAUGGCGGCACCGUCACCCUAAAAUGGGGGGGAAGGGGAUGACAAUUUUGGGGGGGAAAACAGGCCCCACUGCGAAGCCAGGCUGUGUUUCCAUGGUAACUGGACCAGGCCUGAGCUCUCACUGUGAGGCCAGGCUGCGUUUCCAUGGUAGCAGCACUAGGCCUGAGCACUACUGCGAGGCCAGGUUGCGUUUCCAUGGUAACGGGACUAGGCCGCAGCUCUCACUGCAAGGCCAGACUGUGUUUCCAUGGUAACAGGACUAGGCCUGAGCACUACUGCGAGGCCAGGCCGUAUUUCCAUGGUAACAGGACUAGGCCAGGCAGCUGCAUUUCCAUGGUAACAGGACUAGGCCGGAACCCUCACUUUGAGGCCAGGCCGGGCUAUGUUUCCAUGGUAACAGGACUUGGCCUGAGCACUACUGUGAUGCCAGGCUGUGUUUCCAUGGUAACAGGACUAGGCCGGAACCCUCACUUUGAGGCCAGGUGGGUUUCCAUGGUAACGGGACUAGGCCAGGCACUACUGCAAGGCCGGGUUGCGUCUCCAUGGUAACUGGACUAGGCCAGGC